rnacentral:ribozyme from 1 species
ACAAACAAACAAUCAAAAACGGAAACGAAAUAGUAACUUUCUCUUUCUCUUUCUCUCUCUCUCUCUCCUCUCUUUCUCUCUCUCUGUCUCUCGUAAUUUCCGUAAUAA